AAAAAGAAAAGAGAGAGAAGAAAGAAAGCGAGGGUUUUCUCAGUGCACAACACAGAAGGCCUUCCUUCAAAGACCCCAAAAGCCAAGAUAUUUAUCUCCUUGUUCUUUUUGUCCGCAGAGAGAAACCAAACCUAGAUUAAACCAGAGAGCGCCGUCUGGGCGGGGACCGGUCAGAUCUGACGGAGGAGGCGCGGCGGAGAGAGAGAGAGAAAGAAAAAAAAUGAGCGGGAGAGGCGGCGGCGGAGGGAAUGGGAAGGGGAGUAGCGGAAUAUCCGGAAUACCAGGUGGGUCCCGGAAGAUCGUUCAGAGCUUGAAAGAGAUAGUGAAUAACUGCACUGAGCAGGAGAUCUAUGCUAUGCUUAAGGAAUGUAACAUGGACCCUAAUGAAGCCGUCAAUCGUCUUCUUGCUCAAGAUCCUUUUCAUGAAGUGAAGAGCAAACGCGAGAAGAAAAAGGAGAGUAAGGAACCAACGGAUUCUAGGUCCCGCGGUGCUAAUUUUUCAAAUUAUGGUGGUAGAGGUGGUGAUCGCUAUGCUUCACGUGGCGGAUCAAACCACUUUGGCACUAAUGAGUCUGGUUCUUUGCAUGGUAGACCUGCGUACAGGAAGGAAAAUGGAACACCUGCCUAUGCAGGUUCUUCCUCUACUGCGGCUGGCACAACUGGAUAUAACUCGAGCCGACGACCUCCUACAUACAGUGAUUCGGUGGCAGCUGAAAAUAAAGUCACAUCACUAGCUGAUGAUGGAAUAUCUUCAUCCUCACAGCCUUCCUCUGGAUAUCAGUCUGCAUGGGAGGGGUGCCAGGUCAAGUUUCAAUGGCUGACAUUGUUAAGAAGGGUAGGCCGCAAGCCAAGGCACCCCCAGCUCAUAUUGUCAAUCAUCAUGAUACAGGGGCACCUCCUGCAGCAGGAUACAAUCUGAAUUCAUCGCAGACUAAGCCCUUGGCUGAUGAGUGGCCCUUGAUUGAGCAUCCUCCAGGUGUUAGCAUGUCCUCCAUUUUAGGGAAACCUGCAAAUUCUGAGCUGUAUGCUAAUUCAUCUAGCUUUCCCGUGGAUAACACUAAUCAGCAUGUAACAUCCCAACUAGAUGAGGUUGAUACGGAUGAUACGGAAGAUGAUGGUUCCGUUGAGGCACUGAACACAAGCCAUGAUGGGCCUACUUCUGUUUCCGGUAGAAAUGUGCAAGAAGAUAACUCGGCCAAUGCAUCAGCGUUUGAUAAUAGCUCGUAUGAGGAUAUCGAUCCCUACCAUACACAGAGACAUGUCCUCGAGGAUAAUGAAGGUUCAGGUGAGCAUGAUGCUUCAUCAGUGGCUGCAAACUUGCAGCAGCUUGACUUACAGAAGGAUGAUAGGGGAGCACCACCUGAAGACGAGAACCCUCCCCCAGUAGUCAUUCCAAAUCACCUACAGCUCCAUACUCCAGAUUGCUUGCACUUGAGCUUUGGAAGUUUCCGAUCUGGCCCUGAACCUGAUCUUGCAAGUUCUCAUCCACUGAAAAGUGACUUGGAAGAAACAUCUCCGACAGUAGAUGUUUCUGCUGUUGGGCACUCAGAUGCUAGAAAUCCUGACUACUAUGGAGACGAGCAUCUCAUAAAUACCUCUGAUGGAAGUUUGGUUCAUAGAACUGGGGCCAAUGCUGGAGAUUAUGAUUCUCCUUCAGUGCCACAACCAGAGGUCUUAAAACAGGAAACCCCUGAAGCUGAUCAGGGCAUUCAAUAUACUUUUCCUUCUGCACCUGGAUUUGCCUAUGACAGCUCUCAACAACUGAAUAUGGCAUUUUCUCACCAACAGAGUUCACAGAUGCAGAACAAUGCUCCCUUUUCAAGCAUGAUGGCAUACACAAACUCAUUGCCCAGCACACUGUUGGGUUCAAAUGCUCAGAAUGUAAGGGAGGAUCUUCCAUACUCACCUUUCCCUGUGACACAAUCUAUGCCCACAAAAUAUAGCAACGUGCCUUCUUCCAUCAGCGGUCCCACCAUGUCCAUGCCAGAGGCUUUGAGAGCAGGUGGCAUCUCUUCUGCUCAACCUACUCAACAGACCCUACCCGGUGCUGGUGUUGCAACUGGACCUGCUCUUCCACAACACCUGAUGCACCCUUACUCUCAACCUAGUCUACCUUUGGGACAUUUUUCCAACAUGAUUGGUUAUCCUUUCUUGCCUCAGAGCUACACAUAUAUGCCAUCAGCAUUCCAGCAAGCUUUUGCUGGUAACAGCACAUACCAUCAGUCACUGGCUGCAGUUCUCCCACAGUAUAAAAAUAGUGUUUCUGUCAGCAGCUUGCCCCAGUCUGCAAAUGUUCCUUCUGGUUAUGGGUUUGGUAGUUCAACUAGCAUUCCUGGAGGAAACUUUCCGUUGAAUCCUCCAUCUGCACCUACCGGCACAACAAUCGGUUAUGAUGAUGUUAUAAGCUCCCAGUACAAGGACAGUAACCAUUUGAUGUCACUUCAGCAGCAGAAUGACAACUCAGGCAUGUGGGUACACGGACCUGGUUCCCGAGCAAUGCCCGCUGUUCCAGCCAGCAAUUAUUACAGUUUCCAGGGGCAGAAUCAACAGCAUGCUGGUUUCCGCCAAACCCAGCAACCAUCGCAGCAAUUUGCUGGAGCAGCUCUAAACUACCCAAACUUCUAUCAUUCUCAGACAGGGAUGUCCCUCGAUCAUCAACAGCAAAGUUCAAGGGACGCAUCCCUGGGUGGCUCACAGGGCCAACCUUCUAAGCAGUCUCAACAAUUAUGGCAAAACAGCUACUAAUCUCAGUCACCUCCAGGUUUUUCAGGGUCUCACUCCGAGUUUGAAAGUGGCCAAUCAGAGGCAUUAGGCCUCUUAAUAAUCAUCAUGUAUCCUUAUUUGGUCAUAAAAGAGACCUUGACUGGCUGCUGCCCUGUGCCACGAGGUUGUAUCCUAGAUAUUUAUUUUUCCUGUCAUGCUUAACGUAGGAACGCAGUGUGCUAAUUUGGAUUAGUGAAGUACUAUACUACGCCCCGUUUCGUUUCUCGCUCAUCGCCUUUCUUUGUUAUAGUAAAAUCAUUGUUUGCUUUG